GACGAACGCUGGCGGCGUGCCUAAUACAUGCAAGUCGAACGCUGAAGGAGGAGCUUGCUUCUCUGGAUGAGUUGCGAACGGGUGAGUAACGCGUAGGUAACCUGCCUGGUAGCGGGGGAUAACUAUUGGAAACGAUAGCUAAUACCGCAUAAUAGCAGUUGUUGCAUGACAACUGUUUGAAAGGUGCAAUUGCACCACUACCAGAUGGACCUGCGUUGUAUUAGCUAGUUGGUGGGGUAACGGCUCACCAAGGCGACGAUACAUAGCCGACCUGAGAGGGUGAUCGGCCACACUGGGACUGAGACACGGCCCAGACUCCUACGGGAGGCAGCAGUAGGGAAUCUUCGGCAAUGGACGGAAGUCUGACCGAGCAACGCCGCGUGAGGGAAGAAGGGUGUCGGAUCGUAAAGCUCUGUUGUAAGAGAAGAACGAGUGUGAGAGUGGAAAGUUCACACUGUGACGGUAGCUGACCAGAAAGGGACGGCUAACUACGUG
rnacentral:rRNA from 1 species